rnacentral:piRNA from 1 species
UAUCACUAUUUGUUGACACAUUUGUUUUCC